UGUGCUGGUGGCUCCACGUUAAAUGUC
rnacentral:piRNA from 1 species